rnacentral:rRNA from 1 species
AUUGAACGCUGGCGGCAUGCCUUACACAUGCAAGUCGAACGGCAGCACGGGUGCUUGCACCUGGUGGCGAGUGGCGAACGGGUGAGUAAUACAUCGGAACAUGUCCUGUAGUGGGGGAUAGCCCGGCGAAAGCCGGAUUAAUACAGCAUACGAUCUACGGAUGAAAGCGGGGGACCUUCGGGCCUCGCGCUAUAGGGUUGGCCGAUGGCUGAUUAGCUAGUUGGUGGGGUAAAGGCCUACCAAGGCGACGAUCAGUAGCUGGUCUGAGAGGACGACCAGCCACACUGGGACUGAGACACGGCCCAGACUCCUACGGGAGGCAGCAGUGGGGAAUUUUGGACAAUGGGCGAAAGCCUGAUCCAGCAAUGCCGCGUGUGUGAAGAAGGCCUUCGGGUUGUAAAGCACUUUUGUCCGGAAAGAAAUCCUUGGCCCUAAUACGGUCGGGGGAUGACGGUACCGGAAGAAUAAGCACCGGCUAACUACGUG